AACAGCUCAAAUUUGAAAUCUGGCUUCGGCCCGAGUUGUAAUUUGUAGAGGAUGCUUUUGGUGAGGUGCCUUCUGAGUUCCCUGGAACGGGACGCCAGAGAGGGUGAGAGCCCCGUAUAGUCGGCCACCGAUCCUCUGUAAAGCUCCUUCGACGAGUCGAGUAGUUUGGGAAUGCUGCUCAAAAUGGGAGGUAUAUCUCUUCUAAAGCUAAAUAUAGGCCAGAGACCGAUAGCGCACAAGUAGAGUGAUCGAAAGAUGAAAAGCACUUUGAAAAGAGGGUUAAAUAGCACGUGAAAUUGUUGAAAGGGAAGCGCUUGUGACCAGACUUGUGCCGGGCUGAUCAUCCAGUGUUCUCACUGGUGCACUCGACCCGGCUCAGGCCAGCGUCGGUUUUCGCGGGGGGAUAAAAGCUUCGGGAACGUGGCACCUCCGGGUGUGUUAUAGCCCGUUGCUUAAUACCCCCGCGGAGACCGAGGUUCGCGCUCUGCAAGGACGCUGGCGUAAUGGUCAUCAGCGACCCGUCUUGAAACACGGACCAAGGAGUCGAGGUUUUGCGCGAGUGUUUGGGUGUAAAACCCGCACGCGUAAUGAAAGUGAACGUAGGUGAGAGCUUCGGCGCAUCAUCGACCGAUCCUGAUGUAUUCGGAUGGAUUUGAGUAAGAGCGUUAAGCCUCGGACCCGAAAGAUGGUGAACUAUGCCUGAAUAGGGUGAAGCCAGAGGAAACUCUGGUGGAGGCUCGCAGCGGUUCUGACGUGCAAAUCGAUCGUCAAAUUUGGGCAUGGGGGCGAAAGACUAAUCGAACCAUCUAGUAGCUGGUUACCGCCGAAGUUUCCCUCAGGAUAGCAGUGUUGUUCUUCAGUUUUAUGAGGUAAAGCGAAUGAUUAGGGACUCGGGGGCGCUAUAUAGCCUUCAUCCAUUCUCAAACUUUAAAUAUGUAAGAAGCCCUUGUUACUUAAUUGAACGUGGGCAUUCGAAUGUACCAACACUAGUGGGCCAUUUUUGGUAAGCAGAACUGGCGAUGCGGGAUGAACCGAACGCGGGGUUAAGGUGCCAGAGUGGACGCUCAUCAGACACCACAAAAGGCGUUAGUACAUCUUGACAGCAGGACGGUGGCCAUGGAAGUCGGAAUCCGCUAAGGACUGUGUAACAACUCACCUGCCGAAUGUACUAGCCCUGAAAAUGGAUGGCGCUCAAGCGUCCCACCCAUACCCCGCCGUCA
rnacentral:rRNA from 1 species